GCUAAAUAAACGGCUGGAAGAGAUAAAGAAAACGUCCUUGCAGGCUCUAACGCCUGUUACGCAAAGAAUCAAGAAAGACGUACCGAAAGUUAAAAUAGAGCCUGUCGAUAUGACGGAUGCGUUUGAUAAUGAAGAUAUCCUGGACGGAUCCUUCGUGGACGACGAUGAAAAAGAUCCGGACUGGAGAAAAACGCCCCUUGGUAAAAGAAUCCUGGCAGAAAGACGAACCAAGUUAAUGAGAGGCAGUCAGAUGCCUGGU